rnacentral:pre_miRNA from 1 species
AAUAAGUGCAGUUUUGCACUAUUCACGUUCAACGUUUGACCGUCCGUCUUAUUUAAAAAUUUUUUAUGAUUAGUAUUUUUAUUGCUAUUAGAUGAUAAAACAUGAAUAGUACUUUAUGUGUGACUAAAUGUUUUUAAUUUUUUCACAAAUUUUUCAAAUAAGACGGACGGUCAAACGUUAAACGUGAAUAGUGCAAAACUGCACUUAUU